GGGGCUAAUAUCUCCAGUAUUUGACGUCCAUCUCAAAUGAAGUCACGGCUAAAUUUGUGCCAGCAGCCGCGGUAAGACAAAUGUGGCAAGCGUUGUUCGGAAUCACUGGGCAUAAAGGGCACGUAGGCGGCGUAGUAAGUUAACUGUGAAAUCCCCCGGCUCAACCGGGGAACUGCAGUUAAUACUGCUGUGCUAGAGUGCAGAAGAGGAGAGUGGAAUUCUAGGUGUAGCGGUGGAAUGCGAAGAUAUCUAGGAGAAGGCCGGUGGCGAAAGCGACUCUCUGGUCUGUUACUGACGCUGAGGUGCGAGAGCGCAGGUAGCGAACGGGAUUAGAUACCCCGGUAGUCUGUGCCGUAAACGAUGGGCACUUAGAUGGUGGAGGCGCCGAUAGCUUUCGCCGUCGCAGCUAAUACGUUAAGUGCCCCGCCUGGGGAGUAUGGCCGCAAGGUUAAAACUCAAAGGAAUUGACGGGUGCCCACACAAUCGUUGGAGGAUGUGGCUUAAUUCGAGUAUACCCGUUUAACCUUACCGAGGCUUGACAUGCAGGUGGUAGUGAAGUGAAAGCGGUACGACCCGAAUAGGGAGCCUGCACAGGUGCUGCAUGGCUGUCGACAGCUCGUGUCGUGAGAUGUUAGGUUAAGUCCUGUAACGAGCGAAACCCUUGUGCUUAAUUGCCAGCGCGUUAUGGCGGGGACCUUAAGCAGACUGCCCCGGCCAACGGGGAGGAAGGUGGGGAUGACGUCAAGUCAGCAUGGCCUUUAUGCCUCGGGCUGCACACGUCCUACAAUGGGCUGUACAAUGGGGACCCAAACCGCAAGGUGGAGGAAAUCCUAUAAAGCAGUCCUCAGUUCGGAUUGCAGGCUGAAAUUCGCCUGCAUGAAGAUGGAAUCGCUAGUAAUCGCCGGUCAGCAUACGGCGGUGAUACGUCCCUGGGCCUUGUACACACCGCCCGUCAAGCCACCCGAGUUGGGAGCACCCGAAGUC
rnacentral:rRNA from 1 species